GGCAACAACCCUGACCUCCAGCUAAGGUCCCCAAGUCAUGGCUAAGUGGGAAAGGAUGUGAGGAUCCCAAAACAACCAGGAUGUUGGCUUAGAAGCAGCCAUCAUUUAAAGAAAGCGUAACAGCUCACUGGUCUAAAUAAGGGUCUUUGCGCCGAAAAUGUAACGGGGCUAAAGCCAUGCACCGAAGCUGAGGAUUUGCACUUUGUGCAAGUGGUAGCGGAGCGUUCCGUAAGUCUGUGAAGGCGGACCCGUGAGGGCUGCUGGAGAUAUCGGAAGUGCGAAUGUUGACAUGAGUAACGAUAAAGGGAGUGAGAGACUCCCUCGCCGAAAGACCAAGGGUUCCUGCUUAAAGUUAAUCUGAGCAGGGUUAGCCGGCCCCUAAGACGAGGCGGACACGCGUAGUCGAUGGGAACCACGUUAAUAUUCGUGGGCCUGGUGGUAGUGACGGAUCUCGUGUGUUGUUCAACCUUAUUGGAUUGGUUGGGCGGCGAAGAGGUUCCAGGAAAUAGCUCCACCGUAUAGACCGUACCCGAAACCGACACAGGUGGUCAGG
rnacentral:rRNA from 1 species